AGAGCGAACGCUGGCGGCAGGCCUAAUACAUGCAAGUCGAACGAACCCUUCGGGGUUAGUGGCGGACGGGUGAGUAACACGUGGGAACGUGCCUUUUGGUUCGGAACAACUCAGGGAAACUUGAGCUAAUACCGAAUGUGCCCUUCGGGGGAAAGAUUUAUCGCCAUUAGAGCGGCCCGCGUCUGAUUAGCUAGUUGGUGGGGUAAAGGCCCACCAAGGCUACGAUCAGUAGCUGGUCUGAGAGGAUGAUCAGCCACACUGGGACUGAGACACGGCCCAGACUCCUACGGGAGGCAGCAGUAGGGAAUCUUGCGCAAUGGGCGAAAGCCUGACGCAGCCAUGCCGCGUGAAUGAUGAAGGUCUUAGGAUUGUAAAAUUCUUUCAGCGGGGACGAUAAUGACGGUACCCGCAGAAGAAGCCCCGGCUAACUUCGCGCCAGCAGCCGC
rnacentral:rRNA from 1 species